AUAUCCAAAUUACGGUUGAAGCAAGCGUGUAAGUCAACUACCGGAACUGUGUCGUAGAAACGUCGUCGCAAAAACAUCUGAAAUAUCGAAUUUUGGAAUGGUGUUUCUUCUAAGUAAGAAAAUAUACAUAUAGUAUGGCGACACUCCAUUUCAUGAAUUGUUGCAAGGUGACAAUAAAUACCAAGUUCACCAGGACGGAACCCAAUCCUUGUUACAUCCUGGAGCUGACCCGAGUCUAUUGAACCAGUGUCUCAGGUCAAAUCUACCGAUACAUCAAUAAAGUGAGAAGCCGAAGUACAAUCGUUGUCAGUGGAACACGAUGUGUAUUAAAUUGCCGGAACACAAGAUGCUAUCAAUAGCCGGAUAUAUGAGGUCUUAUUUCUUCAAAUAAUCGUGCGCGCAUAUUUAUUAUGAUUUAUAUCACUGGAUAGCCGGAAUUGAAAUCAAAUUUGCCAAUUAUGUUUCUUAUACUUAAAUAUAAUUAGGCCUAAGCAUUGUUAUAUUAUAGUAGGUGAAUCCCAUUGGGAAUAGGAUUUUUUUUCCUUUAUAGCCUGGCCUUUCUAAGAGUAAAACAGAAUAAAUUUAAAAUUCUUAAAUUAUAUUAGGCCUAUAUAAAACUAGAAUCUUUAUAUUCUAUUUAUAUUACGUUUAUACAGUUUUGAUGUCACAUUUCCGAGUAUGCAAGAAAUAAAAGUAAACUGUAGUGUAAUUUAUAAAA